UAUUUUUUUGGGGGGGGGGAUUGACGAAUAACUAAUUCUAAUAAUAGUCUUGACUAGUGCCAAACAGGAAAAAUGGGGCGUGGCCAAGCGGUAAGGCAGCGGGUUUUGGUCCCGUUAUUCGGAGGUUCGAAUCCUUCCGUCCCAGAUCGUUUCCAUCAGAAACAAAAGAUGGGAUCACAUUGUAUCCCACAUAAAACGGAAAAAUCUUAAAGAGAACAACCUUUUCUUUUGUUCUGAAUUCUUAGAAUGUCUUUUGUUCUGAAUUCUUAGAAUGAAUUCUUAGAAUGGAUUCUUAGAAUCCAUUUGAUUUAUCACAAGCAUAAUAAAGUGUCAAAUACAGGUGGAAGUUUUUUUGAAUAAAAAAAAGAGAAAUUUGGGGUCUAUCAUUCACAUUCAUAAUAUGCUCGUACUAUUGUUAUAUUCAUUAUGUCCCAUAUUCAUGAAAUAUGAAUUCUAAAUAUGAAUUAUAAUUCUCACAUGAUGCAUUCCGAAUUGAAGCGUGAAACAAAAGCAUCUCUAUUCCCUUCCACACAAAGCCUAAAGUCAAAAAUAGGGUAUCCCAAUUUCACAUUCUAUGUGAAGACUAAAGAGUAGGGAGUUUGUCGUACUAAUUUCAUCACUGGUUUUAAAACUUCUAAAGCUGUGCUGUGGCGUGGGAAAAAAUAGGAUAAAAAUUGUCUGAAUUCCAUUUCUUUCUAUCUUAUAUCUUAGAUGCCUCAAAUGAAAAUAAUUGUAAAUCAAUGUAACGUAGCGAUUGGGGGGAAAUUUUGAUAUUCCAUAUAUUUUAACUUGAUUUUAUGGAAUUGAUGGAAAAAUUGUUGAACCUGAAGUAAAACAAAAUCUAUAUAAACUAAAAUAAACAAGGCCUACGCUAUGCCUAUAUGUAUGAUAUAUAUUGUGUAUUGUUAUUAUAUUGUUGUAUUUCAAUAACAAUGUUGUUGUAUUUCAAUAACAAUGUUGUUGUAUUUCAAUAACAAUGGCCUUUCACUUAAGUGAAAAGAAUUUGUGGAAGGGGAUCUUUGAUUUUAAAAAUAUCCAUGAUUACCCCCAGUAACAAUAUUCAGAUUCUUUCUUUCAGAUGAAAGAAAGAAUAAGGAUCUUAAUGUUGCCGUACAUGAGACCUUUUCUAUUUCAUACUCAUGAAAAUAGAUAAACUAGAUUAUCAAUUUACUUCUUUGGUUAAAAGAAAACCAAUUGAUAAUUCAAUUGAACAUGGUAAAAUUUAUGUCUCCUUAGGGAAUGAAAUAUCUGCUAAAAAUUUUUAGCUACUCAUUGUGAUUGCGUCGACUUGGUGAUUGAAUUAGAGAUCCAGUUUAGUCAUGACUAGAAAACAUAGUUCCAGUCAUGAUGUUGAAGUCGGAGAUUUUUAAAACAUUUUUUUAUGAACUCUUGGUUGGUACUCGAAGAAAUAUGAUAAAUCAAUAGUAUCUAGAAACUUACGACCUUUUUGUUUUUUGGUCAUUGGAACAGUUUAUUUGACUAAUAAUUUAUUUUUUUCCGGGAUUGGAAAUAUAUUAAAUUAAAGGAUUUGAGGUUUAUAGUUUUUUUGUUCUAGAAAAAUAGAUUCUGCAUUUCAUGAUUGAUCGUCCCGAACAAUCUGUUGGAGAUGUAAAGUAAAUAAGUCUUAAGCAAACAUCUUUCUUAGAAAUACGUUUCAUUCAUAUGAUAGAAUAUCGAGUUAAAGAAAUUGGAUCCUUGCUGAGCUUUCUCCGGAUAAAUACAAUACUUAUCUAUCCAUAGAAUACUUAUCUAUCCAUAGGUAUAAAGUAUAGACUAUUAUAUAGUUCCCGUUGUUCCCAUCGAGCCAAUGACUAUUCAUGAUUACAUAUUAAAUCAAUUCCAUUGCGGUUUGAAAUUAAAUUGAAUUCUAAAUUAGAGGAAUGUUAUGGUAAAACUUCGUUUGAAACGAUGUGGUAGAAAGCAACGUGCGACUUGAAGGACAUGAUCCGCUGUGGAUUUUUACAUCCACCAUUUUCUAUACAAAUGAAGAUGCUCUUGGCUCGACAUAGUUUGUUCUGUUCCAUUAGGAAUCUAAUUUUUCUUAGGUUGAUAGUACAUGAUGGAGCUCGAGCGGAAAGGAUUGAUUCAUUUAUCAAGGGGAAGAAUCUAGGGUUAGUGCCAAUCAAUCAAUAAGUUAGACCAGCUUUGUAAGUAUAUCCUUAAAAUAUAAAAUAAUCGGAAUUGAUAAAACUAUUUCGAUCAAAAAAAAGUGUAUCACAGAGGAAUCAAUUCUUCGUAUUCUAUUUCUAUGGGUAUUCUAUUUCUAUAGAAAGAAAUAAAAAAAACAAAAGGUAUGUUGCUGCCCUUUUGAAAGGAGUAAGGAUCACCGAAGUAAUGUCUAAACCCAAUGAUUUUACAAAGCAAAGAUAAAGGAUUCCGAAACAAGGAAACACUAUUUUCAAUUGUCUCAAAAAUUGGAUCAGAAUUAGGAAUAAAAAUAGAUUCGAGAUGAGACAAACAAAAGAGGUUAGAGACGGCUCAAGAAAUGUCUAAGGAUUUCCCUUCGAAUUCUGUCAGAAUUACCCAACUUGAGUUAUGAGUACGAAUGAAAUUUAUUUUUUUUUUUUUUUUUAGGAAGAACAAAAUAAUAAUAAUGAAUUAGACUAUGAUUUGAGUCAUUAUUUUGUGUUUACUAUUUGAUAUUAUAUACAGAAAGAUAUACCGAAAUAAAAAUAAUUUUUUCUCGAGCUCGAGCCGUAUGAGGAGAAAAACCUCCUAUACGUUUCUGGGGGGGGAUUGUUUAUGUACAUCUAUCCCAAUGAGCCAUCUAUCGAAUCGUUGCAAUUGAUGUUCGAUCCCGAAGAGAAGGAAGAGAUUUUCGAAAAGUGGGUUUUUAUGAUCCGAUAAAGAAUCAAACUUAUUUAAACGUUCCCGCUAUUCUAUAUUUCCUUGAAAAGGGCGCUCAACCUACAGGAACUGUUUAUGAUAUUUUAAGUAAGGCAGAAUUUUUUAAAGAAAAAACCUCGAGUUAAUUAAAAGAAAAAACAACAAAAUUAAUAAAAAAGGGGGGAGAUGAUUAAUAUAAAAUCUAUCUUUGUAUAAUUUUUUACUUACAAUUUUUUACCUAAAAUUUUCCCUUUUCUUGCUCUAUUCAUACUUAAAUUUACUUUUUUCUUGUUAUAGGAAUCCACCAACAAACAAGGGAUUAAUCUUGCUUAUUGUACCUCUAUUGAUUGAGUAAACCCGAGAUUUUUUCUUUAUCUUUUCCUUAUUUUUUUCCAUCAAAAUUUCUUAUUUAUGUUGUGCCAACCCAAUACAAAUCCUUAUUUUAUUUACUUUAUUUGUUAUUUGUUUUCUCAACAUUGCAUUCAUAUUGACAAUGGUGUAUCGAACAAAUAUAAUUGAUCAUAGAUAAAUUAAUUGAUCAUAGAUAAAUAAAUCUCUUUAUCCAGACCCCAUAUUGGGUUUUAACUUCACUUUUACUCAAAUAAUGGGUUUUGCAUUGUUGGGUUUACUGUCAUAUAAGACGUAUUUUGGAAUUUAACUUAACAAAAAUAAAAAAUUGAUAAAAAACUGGUAGGUCUGUCACAAUUUUAGCAUCUCUUUUAGGAAUCUGGUGUUUUUAAAUAUGAUCUGUACAUUUUCUAUUUAUUUUGUAUAAUCGAUCAUAAAACAUAAAAUAUUUUUUUAUUUAUUAUUAGUUCAAUGUUUUGAUGGGGUCGUGCAGUGCAAUUUAAUGGAUUUUUCAUUUUUAUCGUAUCUACAUAUCCUAUUUAUUUUAUUUUAUUCGGGUUGCUAACUCAACGGUAGAGUACUCGGCUUUUAAGUGCGACUAUGAUCUUUUACACAUUUUGAUGAAGCAACAAAUUCGUCCAGACUAUUGGUAGAGUCUAUAAGACCACGACUGAUCCUCAAGGGUAAUGAAUGGAAAAAGUAGCAUGUCGUAAUAAAAAAAAUUUCUUAUUUUAUUAAAUAUUUUAUUAAAAAAUUACAAAUUCAAAUGAAAGUGGAACUUUUAGUUUAUCCUUACUGGAUCGCUACAAAAAUAAAAAAUUUUUGGAAGGGAAGGGGACAAAACAAAUUCACAUUUACAGUUGGGUCUAGUGAAUAAAUGGAUAGAGCCUAUGGUUCCAAUUUUGGUAAAACAAAAAGCAACGAGCUUAUGUUCUUAAUUUGAAUUGAACGAUUACCCGAUCUAAUUAGACGUUAAAAAUAGAUUAGUGCCUUAUACGGGAAAGGGUGAGUUCUCCUGUGGGUGGACCAUUGAUUCUUUUUCCUUUUUUUUUAAUAAAUCCUAACUAUUCUUUAUUAUGGAUUAGAAACGGAUGUGUAGAAGAAACAGUAUACUGAUAAAGAGAAUAAAUUCCAAAGUCAAAAGAGCGAUCGGGUUGCAAAAAUAAAGGGUUUGUUAUCCUCUUGUAAUUAUAACGAAGAUAAACAACGAAGAUAAACCAAUUCGAUAGAAAAAGAGAAUAAAAAGAUCUAUUGAUUGGACUCCCUGUUUCCUUUUCGGGGUAUAUUUUUAUUACUAUUGUAUUCUAUAUACAUAAUAGAAUACAAAAUACCCUGUUUUGACCAUAUUGCACUAUGUAUCAUUUGAUAACCCAAUAAAUGCCUCCUACCCCUGCUUCAAGUGGAAAUGUAAAUGGAAGAAUUACAAGGAUAUUUAGAAAAAGAUAGAUCUCGGCAACAAUACUUUCUAUAUCCACUUCUUUUUCAGGAGUAUAUUUACGUAUUUGCUUAUGAUCAGGGUUUAAAUAGUUCAAUUUUUUAUGAACCCGUGAAUUUUGGGGGUUAUGGCAAUAAAUUUAGUUCAGUACUUGUGAAACGUUUAAUUAUUCGAAUGUAUCAACAAAAUUAUUUGAUUUAUUCGGUUAAUGAUUCUUACCAAAAUCGAUUCGUUGGGCACAACAAUUAUUUUUAUUCCCAUUUUUUUUCUCAGAUGAUAUCAGAAGGUUUUGCAGUCAUUGUGGAAAUUCCAUUCUCGCUGCAAUUAGUAUCUUCCCUUGAAGAAAAAAAAAUACCAAAAUCUCAUAAUUUACAAUCUAUUCAUUCAAUAUUUCCUUUUUUAGAGGAUAAAUUAUCGCAUUUAAAUUAUCUGUCAGAUAUACUAAUACCUCAUCCCAUCCAUAUGGAAAUCCUGGUCCAAAUCCUUCAAUCCUGUAUCCAGGAUGUUCCCUCUUUGCAUUUAUUGCGGUUCUUUCUCUACGAAUAUUAUAAUUGGAAUAGUCUCAUUACUCCGAAGAAAUCUAUUUAUGUUUUUUCAAAAGAAAAUAAAAGACUAUUUUGGUUCUUAUAUAAUUCUUAUGUAUCUGAAUGUGAAUUUGUAUUAGUUUUUCUUCGUAAACAAUCUUCUUAUUUACGAUUAACAUCUUUUGGAGCCUUUCUUG